rnacentral:tRNA from 1 species
GGGGAUGUAGCUCAGAUGGUAUAGCGCUCGCGUAUCAUGCAAGAAAUACUGGAAUCGAUAACCAGCAUUUCCA